CACAUGCAAGUCGAGGGGAAACGGAGGAAGGGGCUUGCUCCUUCCAGACGUCGACCGGCGUACGGGUGCGUAACGCGUAUCCAACCCGCCCGUGUCUCCGGGAUAGCCCAUGGAAACGUGGAUUAACACCGGAUGGUCCGCGCCUUCCGCAUGGCGGGCGCGGUAAGCUUCGAGGGACACGGAUGGGGAUGCGUACCAUUAGCUCGCAGGCGGGGUAACGGCCCACCUGGGCAUCGAUGGUUAGGGGUUCUGAGAGGAAGGCCCCCCACACUGGGACUGAGACACGGCCCAGACUCCUACGGGAGGCAGCAGUGAGGAAUAUUGGUCAAUGGGCGUGAGCCUGAACCAGCCAAGUAGCGUGGAGGAUGAAGGCCCUACGGGUUGUAAACUCCUUUUAUGCGGGGAUAAAAAGUGCCACGCGUGGCAUGUUGCAGGUACCGCAUGAAUAAGGACCGGCUAAUUCCGUGCCAGCAGCCGCGGUAAUACGGAAGGUCCGGGCGUUAUCCGGAUUCAUUGGGUUUAAAGGGAGCGCAGGCGGGCGCCUAAGCCGGCCGGUAAAUUCCGCCGCUC
rnacentral:rRNA from 1 species